rnacentral:lncRNA from 1 species
AGGAGGCUGGGGCGGCCCCGGGGUACUGAGGAACGCCCUACAUCCUCUCCUGAAGUUUAUCAUCUCCCUCCCCCAACCGCCAGCCUACUCCCCGCCCCACUCCGCCCCCAGGGAAGCGCAGCCUCCGCGCUCCAGCUCUUUCUUCGGGAUCAAUAACCAAAGUGCUGCAGAAAGGCGACCCCGGCGAGACCGAACAGAACACAAGAGGUUGGCCUUGCUCGGGCGCUUGGCGAGUGGGGACUGGAGGCGGGGGCUCAGGCCCCAGCUCCCAGAUUCAUACCUCCACCUCCACUCCUGAACACAGACCACAGGCCCCUCUCGGCGCUCCUGGGAGAGCAAGGCCAGGAAUGUGGUAAACGAGCCUGAAAGAGUGAGGCAAGGGGAUGGACAGAGUGACCCAAGCUCGCCGGGGGAGAGAAAACAGACGUGCAGGCAGACAGCCGGGUCCAGGAGCCCAGAGGGUCGAGUGAGGCCGAGACUGUGGAAGGCAGCCAACGUCCGGUUUCCCUGCGGCUCUGAGACCUUCACCCAGGGGACUGCACCCCCAGACAGGGAUAGAAGUGCCUCCCGAGGUGACUGUGUCCUGCCAGAGUGCUCCAGAAGACAGUGUCACCCGUCCUGCUGGCCACUGGCUUUUGCCCUUCCUCUGUCUUGCUUCACUGGAAGAAGGACUAGUUGCUGGCAGGAAUCCGAAACAAGUGAAGGCUCCAAGAGCCAAGAGGAGGUAUCCUGAUGUGGCAGAAAGAUUUGAGCUACCAGCUUGGUGAGAAGUUCGCAGCGACCUUCAGAGAAAUUUCACACCCUGCGGAAUUUCUGCAAGAACCCCUUUCCCACUUCCUGCCCUUAACCUCCACUCUUUGCUAGACCUGCCCUGUGGCGACCACAAAAAUGCAGCUGUCGGAUCUCCAACUCCGGGGGUGUAAUUGACCGAGGUUCUCAGCUGCUGCGCUCUGAAACCCAUCACUUCCUUGGUGCUGAGGCCACGGUUCCCACAGCUGCUCCCAGCCAGAGGCAGAGGGCAGUGGGGACACUAUGGCGGGAUACUAAGGGAAUGCUGGGGAAAUGUGAGAAUCCUUUGACGGGUCACUUUGGCUCCAGGACUUCCCAUUGGCCUUACCAAACACUCCUUAGAUGACCAGCAGCCUGGAACACUUCCACCCAACCUCCUCUCCUCUCUUCUUCCUUGGGGUCAUACUUGCAUUGGUGGUCUGAUGGCUCCCAUCUUCUUCCAGCCCCUUCCAGAUUUCCCCCCACAGGCAUUUCUGCUAAUAAACCUAUUGCAUGUUUCA